UACGUAGGGACCUAGCGUUGUCCGGAUUUAUUGGGCGUAAAGAGCUCGUAGGCGGCCGUUCGCGUCGGGUGUGAAAGCUCAGAGCUCAACUCUGAGAGGCCAUUCGAUACGGGACGGCUAGAGGUAGGUAGGGGAAAGUGGAAUUCCUGGUGUAGCGGUGAAAUGCGCAGAUAUCAGGAGGAACACCGGCGGCGAAGGCGGCAUCCUGGACCGACACUGACACUGAGGAGCGAAAGCCAGGGGAGCAAACGGG
rnacentral:rRNA from 1 species